GACGAACGCUGGCGGCGUGCUUAACACAUGCAAGUCGAACGGAAAGGCCUCUUUCGGGGGGUACUCGAGUGGCGAACGGGUGAGUAACACGUGAGUAACCUGCCCUUGACUUUGGGAUAACUUCAGGAAACUGGGGCUAAUACCGGAUAGGAGCUCCUGCUGCAUGGUGGGGGUUGGAAAGUUUCGGCGGUUGGGGAUGGACUCGCGGCUUAUCAGCUUGUUGGUGGGGUAGUGGCUUACCAAGGCUUUGACGGGUAGCCGGCCUGAGAGGGUGACCGGCCACAUUGGGACUGCGAUACGGCCCAGACUCCUACGGGAGGCAGCAGUGGGGAAUAUUGCACAAUGGGUGGAAGCCUGAUGCAGCAACGCCGUGUGCGGGAUGACGGCCUUCGGGUUGUAAACCGCUUUCGCCCAUGACGAAGCUUUGUGUGACGGUAGUGGGUAAAGAAGCACCGGCUAACUACGUG
rnacentral:rRNA from 1 species